rnacentral:rRNA from 1 species
UACGUAGGGUGCAAGCGUUAUCCGGAAUUAUUGGGCGUAAAGAGCUCGUAGGCGGUUCUGUCGCGUGCUGUGAAAACCGGGGGCUCAACCCCCAGGCCUGCAGUCGGUACGGGGCAGACUAGAGUGCGGUAGGGGGAGAUUGGAAUUCCUGGUGUAGCGGUGGAAAUGCGCAGAUAUCAGGAGGAACACCGGUGGCGAAGGCGGGUCUCUGGGCCGUAACUGACGCUGAGGAGCGAAAGCGUGGGGAGCGAACAGG